GUUGAAAGGGUGAUUUUAAUUAGUUUUUACUAUUUUUUAGACAAAAGUAGUUGGUUGAUGUUGCAAAAGAUUAUUUUGAUUAUUUUAAUGCCGUGAUUAAUAUUGUUUUUUAUUAUUUUGUUGACAAAUUUUAAUAUUGUUUUGCUGAUUAUUUAUGAACUAAAAAUUGUUUUUCAGCUAUAGGAGAAAAGAAGCGGAACAAGAACAAUGAGAGUGCUGGUAACAAUAAAGUAAGGAUUGUUAAUUUAAUUUUUUUUUUAAUCUUUUUGAUGUUGUGUUUUGUACUAUUCACAUGUGGGAUACAAUUUCCUGAGAAUUCAGGAAAAGAAGAAUUCAAUGGGGCUAAGAUUUUUUUUUUUUAAA
rnacentral:misc_RNA from 1 species